GGAUAAGCAAGAAAGGGGGAAAGGAUGUUGCAGUGGCUCCUCAAUCUGCAAGGGGUCCGGUUCGGCCCACUUACGAAGUCCCCUAAACAAAAGAGGGCGGCACGGGUCUGAUCCAGUUUACCCCCAAUCGACCCUAGGGUCGACCCGACGGGGCUCUCCUUCCUCGCGACAUCGUUGCCGCCGCCGCCGCCGCCUAGAGACAGCACCGCUCUGCCGCCUCUCCCUACCUGCUGCUCCUCGCUACACGGACACCGUCCACCAAAACAGAGAGCCACCGUCAAGAGCUACCUCCACUAUGGAGUCAUCGUCCCCGCCUCUCGGUCAUGGAUCCCAUCGUCUGCAAGAGCGAAGCUUCCCUGGAGCAGUCUCGACGACUAGACCUUCAUCACCGGUAUUGGCUCUGGAUCAUUCGGUCCCGACUGCAUCACCUGGCCGCCACUUGGAUCCCACCCCUCUCCCAUCGCAUGGUGAUCCAUGCUUCUCCUACGAUAAUCGUGAAAGUCUCGAUCUUGCGACAGCACACCGUGUAGGGUCCCUGGAGAUUGUCGCUUCACCUACGACAUCUAUUGGUUUUAAUGAAGAUAUUCAUACGUGUGAUAUUGAGGUUGACAAUAGCCUUCACCAAUCUGAGGGGACUGAUCCAUCUGUUAGAGCAGCAAUUGAAAGCAACUAAAAAUUUCAGAUCCCAAUGUUGGCAAGAAUUUGAACCGGUAAUUGAAGAUGGGGUAGUUGUGCAAGGAAGGUGCAAACAUUGUGAUACUCUGAUGGCUGCCAAACGAGGUGCGGGAACAAGUUCUCUUUUGACCCAUUUGAAAAGAUGCAAGAAGCAGAGCAGAAAUCUUAGGAUUGUGCAAGACUUGAGUUCUACAUUAAGGUCUCCAUGCGGUAGUCGUUUGAAGGAUUGGAGUUAUGACCCAGAUGUAUCAUGAAAUGAUUAUGCGAAUGAUAUCUUUACAUGGGUUUCCAUUCCUCGUUACAGAAUAUGAUGGAUUUAGAAGCUUUGUGUCAAGUUUAAACCCACUGUUCAAGAUUCCAUGUAGGACUACAGCUAGGAAUGAAUGCAUGAAAGUCUUUCAUGAGAAGAAAGUUGCACUCAAGGAAACAUUGCAAAAUGAAAACUGUAGGUUCUCUCUCACUACAGAUAUGUGGACAAGCAAUCAAACACUGGGUUACAUUGUUGUAAACUAUCACUUCAUUGAUGCUGAAUGGCAAUUGCAGAAAAGGAUAAUAAAGUUCAUUGAUGUUAAAACACCACACACUGGAGUUGAGCUUUUCAACAAUAUCCAAAACUGCAUUCAAGAUUGGUCAAUUGAAGAUAAGUUGUUUGGGAUUACUCUUGAUAAUGCUGCAGCAAAUAAUUCAAUGAUUGACUUGUUGAGGCACAAUCUUGUGGAUAAGAACUUUCUACCAGCAGAAGGCAAGUUACUUCACCAUUAGUGUGCUGGUCAUGUCAUAAAUCUUAUUGUCAAGGAUGGACUUCGAGUUGUGGAAUCAGUUGUUGUGAACAUUUGUGAAAGUGUAAAGUAUAUCCGUGGUUCACAAUCUAGAAAACAGAUGUUCAAGGAAAUAAUUGCACAAGAAGGAAUUACAUGUAAGAAGAAGACAGGGCUUGAUGUGGUUACAAGAUGGAACUCAACACUAUCGAUGCUUCAAACAGCCUUGAAGUACAGUGUAGCCUUUGAGAAAUUAAAAAGUGAGGAUCAAAAGUAUACAUAUGCACCGUCUUCAGAUGAGUGGGAGAAGGCUGCGGUCCUUUGUAGGCUGCUGCAGGUCUUUAAUGGUGCAACAGGCAUUGUUUCUGGCAGCCAAUAUUCUACUUCAAAUCUCUAUUUUCACGAAAUGUGGAAGAUCAAAUUAGCUUUGGAGCAAGAGUCCUCGAUUGAAGAUGCUGAAAUUGCCACGGUGUUAAAGGCAAUGAAGAAGAAAUUCAACAAAUAUUGGAACAAGUCAUAUGUAUUACUUUGUGUGCUAGUUAUCUUUGACCCAAGGUAUAAGCUCAAAUUCAUAGACUUCGUUUUCAGUCAAUCAUUUGGAACCAAAGCCAAGCAAAGAUUUCAUAGAGUGGAAAGUCUAGUUCGUGAGUUGUUUCAAGCAUAUUCUUCUAAAGGAAAAGAGUCAGAUUUACCAUCUAUGAGCCACUUGGGAUCAACCAAUCACAAAGUGCCUUCCAUGAAGACUGAUCCAUGGGCAGCUUGGGAUAGGCAGCUUAGCCAUGAUCUUCAAUCGCAGAUGACGACUGAACUGGAUAGAUAUUUGGAUGAGACCGCAGUUCCGCGUUCUGCAGAAUUUGACAUCUUGAAGUGGUGGAUGGGCAAUGCUGCCAAGUAUCCCACUCUUGCAUGUAUAGCAAGGGACCUGUUGGCCAUUCCAGCAUCUUCUGUGGCCUCUGAAUCGGCCUUUAGCACCAGCAAAAAAAAAAUCAAUGAUUUUCAUAGCAGCUUACUUCCUGAGACGGUAGAAGCACUCAUUUGCACUCAAGACUGGUUCAGGGAAGAAGGAAAGAAAACAGAGUUUAGCAUGUCAUCUAUCAAUGAUUUGAUAAUGCGCGAAGAUAAUACAUGAAACUGCAUUAGUGUUCAAUCAUAGCCGAGUUUUUCUGUCAGAAUCACAAGACCGAAGCAGAGGAGAUUUGUGGGCAUACAGCAGCUUGGAGAGAACUAAAGACCAAACUGGCCACCACCUGGCACCCGAGUGUUGGAGAUGCUUGAUGACUCGGAACCAAGCAUGCGGACAGCAUGGAAAUGCUUGAUAGCACAUUUAGUUCCCUUCUGUGUUAUAUUUUAUAUUUUUUUCCUCACAUAUCUGGCGUAGGGAAUGUUUUAAUUUAAUUGCUCAAACCAAAUUGAACGUCAAAGAUAGUAUCUUUUCGGAUUUUUUUUUAUCGUAUUCAUCUUCUAUGUUCAAUCA